AUUGAACGCUGGCGGCAGGCCUAACACAUGCAAGUCGAACGGUAACAGAAAGCAGCUUGCUGCUUUGCUGACGAGUGGCGGACGGGUGAGUAAUGUCUGGGAAACUGCCCGAUGGAGGGGGAUAACUACUGGAAACGGUAGCUAAUACCGCAUAACGUCGCAAGACCAAAGAGGGGGACCUUCGGGCCUCUUGCCAUCGGAUGUGCCCAGAUGGGAUUAGCUAGUAGGUGGGGUAAAGGCUCACCUAGGCGACGAUCCCUAGCUGGUCUGAGAGGAUGACCAGCCACACUGGAACUGAGACACGGUCCAGACUCCUACGGGAGGCAGCAGUGGGGAAUAUUGCACAAUGGGCGCAAGCCUGAUGCAGCCAUGCCGCGUGUAUGAAGAAGGCCUUCGGGUUGUAAAGUACUUUCAGCGGGGAGGAAGGGAGUAAAGUUAAUACCUUUGCUCAUUGACGUUACCCGCAGAAGAAGCACCGGCUAACUCCGUGCCAGCAGCCGCGGUAAUACGGAGGGUGCAAGCGUUAAUCGGAAUUACUGGGCGUAAAGCGCACGCAGGCGGUUUGUUAAGUCAGAUGUGAAAUCCCCGGGCUCAACCUGGGAACUGCAUAUGAUACUGGCAAGCUUGAGUCUCGUAGAGGGGGGUAGAAUUCCAGGUGUAGCGGUGAAAUGCGUAGAGAUCUGGAGGAAUACCGGUGGCGAAGGCGGCCCCCUGGACGAAGACUGACGCUCAGGUGCGAAAGCGUGGGGAGCAAACAGG
rnacentral:rRNA from 1 species